AUUGAACGCUGGCGGCAGGCCUAACACAUGCAAGUCGAGCGGAUGAAGGGGGCUUGCUCCUGGAUUCAGCGGCGGACGGGUGAGUAAUGCCUAGGAAUCUGCCUGGUAGUGGGGGAUAACGUCCGGAAACGGGCGCUAAUACCGCAUACGCCCUGAGGGAGAAAGUGGGGGAUCUUCGGACCUCACGCUAUCAGAUGAGCCUAGGUCGGAUUAGCUAGUUGGUGGGGUAAAGGCCUACCAAGGCGACGAUCCGUAACUGGUCUGAGAGGAUGAUCAGUCACACUGGAACUGAGACACGGUCCAGACUCCUACGGGAGGCAGCAGUGGGGAAUAUUGGACAAUGGGCGAAAGCCUGAUCCAGCCAUGCCGCGUGUGUGAAGAAGGUCUUCGGAUUGUAAAGCACUUUAAGUUGGGAGGAAGGGCAGUAAGUUAAUACCUUGCUGUUUUGACGUUACCAACAGAAUAAGCACCGGCUAACUUCGUG
rnacentral:rRNA from 1 species